UGUUCGCCCACGUUGACACUCAAAUGCAGAUAACGAGUUCAAAUUGCAAUCAAACAUCUUUGAAGUAUUAGCUAAACAAAUUCUAUUACCUGCACAUCCUUUCUCAAACUCACAGAAGACUGAGCACAGGAAUAAACAGAUGAAGCGAAUCCUUCUCCUUUGUUCAACGAUUGCUCCAGCCUCCCUUGAAAAUCUUCAAGCGCAUUAGAAUGUAGGUCUCCAAGCAUGGCCGAGUACGCAAGCCUCAAGGAUUUUCAAAUUUUAUUUAUUUUCUGGUCUUUGCAGGUUUUUGUUUGGAUACUACCGUUACUCUGCAGGUAUAGAUAAGAUCUGGGAAUUGGGUGACAAGGAGGGGCUUCAGGUUGGUUGAGAAGAUCCUGAAAAGUUCGUUCGGACUUGAGUUUCAACCUGGGCAAACAUCCCCAAGCCAUCUAGUAGCAGAUCCCUUUUGGUUAUGAAGGCUGAAUGAGUUCACGUGGAGUUGAUGGAAAUUUCAAUUUCGGGCUUGAAUCCUAACGGAAUUCACCACGAAUAUUUAAAUCCUAAUUUUUCCAUCACGGGGCUAUCUUUCAGUUAUCACCAUGGGGACUACUAAUUCAAUUUAACCAAUUGCCAAACUUAUUAAUCCAAUUUUGACAUCGCCUUUAAAG